UGGGGUAUAUUGGACAAUGGGGGGAACCCUGAUCCAGCCAUGCCGCGUGUGUGAAGAAGGCCUUAUGGUUGUAAAGCACUUUAAGCGAGGAGGAGGGUACUGGUAUUAAUACUACCAGCUACUGGACGUUACUCGCAGAAUAAGCACCGGCUAACUCUGUGCCAGCAGCCGCGGUAAUACAGAGGGUGCGAGCGUUAAUCGGAUUUACUGGGCGUAAAGCGUGCGUAGGCGGCUAAUUGAGUCGGAUGUGAAAUCCCCGAGCUUAACUUGGGAAUUGCAUUCGAUACUGGUUAGCUAGAGUGUGGGAGAGGAUGGUAGAAUUCCAGGUGUAGCGGUGAAAUGCGUAGGGAUCUGGAGGAAUACCGAUGGCGAAGGCAGCCAUCUGGCCUAACACUGACGCUGAGGUACGAAAGCAUGGGGAGCAAACAGG
rnacentral:rRNA from 1 species